UGCGUAGGGCGCAAGCGUUGUCCGGAAUUAUUGGGCGUAAAGAGCUCGUAGGCGGUUUGUCGCGUCUGCUGUGAAAACCUAAGGCUCAACCUUGGGCUUGCAGUGGGUACGGGCAGACUAGAGUGCGGUAGGGGUGACUGGAACUCCUGGUGUAGCGGUGGAAUGCGCAGAUAUCAGGAGGAACACCGAUGGCGAAGGCAGGUCACUGGGCCGCAACUGACGCUGAGGAGCGAAAGCAUGGGGAGCGAACAGG
rnacentral:rRNA from 1 species